GACGAACGCUGGCGGCGUGCCUAAUACAUGCAAGUAGGACGCAGUUGCGAACGGGUGAGUAACGCGUAUGUAACUACCUAUUAGAGGGGGAUAACUAUUGUAAACGAUAGCUAAUACCGCAUACUAGUAGAUGGACCUGCGUUGGAUUAGCUAGUAGGUACGGUAAUGGCCUACGUAGGCAACGAUACAUAGCCGAGCUGAGAGGGUGAUCGGGCACACUGGGACUUAGACACCGCGCAAAAUCCGACUGGAGGCAAGAGUAGGGGAUCUUUGGAAAUGGGGGGAAACCUGACCGAGCAAAGGCGCGUGAGUGAAGAAGGUUUUCGGAUAGGAAAGCUAUGUUGUGAAGGGAGCGGUACUUACACCUAAAGCGACGGCUAACUACGUGCCAGCAGCCGCGGUAAUUC
rnacentral:rRNA from 1 species